rnacentral:rRNA from 1 species
AACGAACGCUGGCGGCAGGCCUAACACAUGCAAGUCGAACGAGGUCUUCGGAUCUAGUGGCGGACGGGUGAGUAACGCGUGAGAAUCUGCCUGUGGGUCGGGACAACCACUGGAAACGGUGGCUAAUACCGGAUGAGCCGAAAGGUAAAGAUUUAUUGCCCACAGAUGAGCUCGCGUCUGAUUAGCUAGUUGGUAAGGUAAAAGCGUACCAAGGCGACGAUCAGUAGCUGGUCUGAGAGGAUGAGCAGCCACACUGGGACUGAGACACGGCCCAGACUCCUACGGGAGGCAGCAGUGGGAAUUUCGCAAUGGGCGAAAGCCUGACGGAGCAAGACCGCGUGGGGGAGAAGGUUUUUGGAUCGUAAACCCUUUGUCAGAGAAGCUCUGACGGUACUUGACGAAUAAGCCUCGGCUAACUCGUGCCAGCGCCGCGGUAA